CAGGUGCAUGCCUCUAG
rnacentral:rRNA from 2 species